UUCUAUAAAAAUAUAUUAUUUAUCUUUCUAAUUUAAUCUCAUGUUAUUAUAGCGGACUGAGGAUAAAGAUAACUCUUUGGGGUAAUGCUGCUGAUUACAUAAAUGAAGGUGAAAUUUUACAAAAUUUCACUCAUCAAAUUCUAAUUGUAACAUCAACAAUGGUUAAAGCAUUUUGAGGUAUUCAAAAUAUUUUUUUAUUUUUUUUAUAUUAAAAUUUUUAUUCUUAAUGAGAUAUUUAUAUUAUAGGGGAGCAUUAUCUUUUCUUUACGAGUGCA
rnacentral:lncRNA from 1 species